rnacentral:rRNA from 1 species
CCUGUGCACUUGUUGGAUGGUUUAACCAAAGCGUAAGCUGAAGUUAUCCAUCUAAUUUACACUAAACAAUUCUGUAACAAAUGUAGUCUUAUUAUAACAUAAUAAAACUUUCAACAACGGAUCUCUUGGCUCUCGCAUCGAUGAAGAACGCAGCGAAAUGCGAUAAGUAAUGUGAAUUGCAGAAUUCAGUGAAUCAUCGAAUCUUUGAACGCACCUUGCGCUCCUUGGUAUUCCGAGGAGCAUGCCUGUUUGAGUGUCAUGAAAACCCUCAACCUUAGAUUGGUUAUUUGACCUUUCUUUGGCUUGGAUUUGGACGUUUGCCGAUGAUAAGUCGGCUCGUCUUAAAAGUAAUAGCUGGAUCUGUCUCGCGACAUGGUUUGACUUGGCGUAAUAAGUAUUUCGCUAAGGACAUCUUCGGAUGGCCCUGUUGCAGACUAAAGACCGCUUUCUAAUCCAUUGAUCUUCGGAUUAAUAUUCUUGACAUCUGGCCUCAAAUCAGGUAGGACUACCCGCUGAACUUAAGCAUAUCAA